AAGUACACUAACUUGGUGUCCCUUGAUCACCCUGGCAUAAUAUUCUCCAAUUUUGCACCCAUUGCAUCCUAUUGGGAUACUACAUGUAUGGUCAUAUAGCUUUCUUGACUAUUUUGGUUUCCAGACACUUAUCUCCCUCCCGGUUGCUCCUCACUCUCACUCAUCCUUCAGCCAGUGGAAUGCAUGGUCAAAUGCCACUGCCCUUGUGGUUUGCUUACUACAAUAGAAAUCCAAAAUACACCCACUGGUCAUUUUUUAUUGAUAUAAUUUAUAAACAAGUUCUAAUCGUUAUGUCCUCGGUUCCUUAGCUCCCUACCAUUGUAGGGUUUGUACCUACAGCCUACUGCCUUCACAAUCAGUUUAUUUUCUAUUUUAUGGUGUCCAGUAGUUUACCUAAACGUUAAUACCUUGCUUUUCGUAGAGAAUCUGAAUAACAAAGGUGCAAAUUGAGAAGGUUCUCAAGGCUGGUGCUAAUGUUGUAAAUAACAUGUUUCAGCAUCAUUAUUAAUUGUUAAGGUAAGCUAGAUUAUGACAACUUUUUCUUACAUGUUUACAAGAGUCUCAGCAGUAUUACUAUUAUAUUCUCUUGCGCAUUAAUUACUUUGUGAAGUGGAAUAUUCUAAACUCGACCUUUUAAUGCAUAAUAAUUAUCCUAGAGAGAAUCAACAUGUACUAAUUGAUCAUAUUUCUAAGGCAUGCUUUUUGCGGGCUUCACAUCCCUCUGCUUGAUUGCUGGUCUUCGUUUGUUAUCUACCCGUUGUGUAAGAUCUUCCAAAUUAUAUAUCUUCUUCUUUAUCAUAUUUCUUGAUUCCUGAGAAAAUUCAGAAAGCAUGCUCAUUUCCUAAAGUGUUUUUCUUUUAGUGCCAGAGCACAUGAGUAAACACACAAAAUAUAAUCCAAGAAAGGCUCUGGCGAUCAUGCGUGACUGCGGAGCGCCUAUCGCCCUGGCACGGCACUCUAAAAUGCAUGUUGGGUUGGGCCAGCAAGAAGACUUCGACUAGGGAGACGCAGAAUGGAAUUGAAGAAGGCAGCAUAGUCUAAGAUAACAGAAUGGAACACCAACCAACAAGUAAGUGGUGGAUUUGGAUGGAGUCUCACAGAAGAAGAGUGACGGGGAGAAGAUGCACAAGGAGGAUGGCACACAGGGGGCGUGCUCUUCCUAGCUGGGAGGAGAGGAUGCGGGAGGAGGAGCACGGAAAGGGUGAGGGUGCCCACGUCCUCCUCGGCCGUCCUACCUCCGGAGACCUCACCAUCUUGAACGGAUCUGCAGCCUGCUGUAAAAUAGGGUCUUUUGUCAUGUCCGAUACAACAGCAAAUGGAGAUUCUCACAGAGAGCAAAUUCGGUUAAAUAUGAGGGCAGCGCACAGGAUACAGGCUCAGCUUAUGGUUGUGUUAACAAAACAGAUAAGAUCCAGCGCUUCUUGUUCUCUGAUUUAAUUUAUUUUGUCUCUGUUUCUAUGGAAGAGUUUGGAGUGGAGGUUUGUUUCUCUGCAACGAAUGGCUUGCAGAAUUGGAAAAGCCAAUUGCUUCCGCUAUCGAAUCUCAGUUUAUUACACAAUGAGUACGAUGGACUUAUUGGCUCUUUCUGAAGAAUGCUUUUGUGAUGAUAGCUUUUUAUAUGCCACAGUUUAAUAAGCUUAAGAUCUGAAUUAUAAUAGGCACGUGAAUUACAAAGAAAUAUUUUUUGGUAUAGAGGUACAACAUGCAACUAGGAUUCUAUUCUGGAAUGAACUAAUGGAUGAUAGUUUAUUAUGAGUUACUGCCCCCAUCUGUUUCUGUUUUGUCAGUGCCAUAUACCUUCUCUUAGUAACUUAAACUGCAUGCCAGCUUGGUUUAAGUGAAUAUUGUAUAGGGUACUUCCGUUCCAUUGUUUAACUCUCUUAUCCUUUCAAGAAUUAAUAUUAUUGCCAUACUGUUGCUACAGACGUGCUCUGCUCCUAAAUAAUGUUGUGGAAAUUCGUUGGUUUUGUACAGAGGCAGCAAUAUAUUUGGUACUAUAUUAGUUUGAAGAUUGUGUUGGAUCCAUAAGAAAGAGGGAAGAUAUUGAGCGGUAACUCCAUAUUUCACAUCGAUGUGUGACAUGAAUGAGAAAAGAAGCGCCAUCUACUUGGUCAAUCGGUAACUUUUCAGGUUGAGGUACCUGGUCAAUCUGCCGCUGUCUCCUUCAUUCUCCCAACCCGUGCCUCCUCUCUCCCACUCCCGCGCACACGCCUCCAACCUCUGGCCUCCGCCUCCCGGCGUCCACCGCCGCCCGACCCUCGCCUUUGCCCCAGAGAGUCCGUUGAUGGACCCUCACCGACGGCCUCCUGCGCGGCGGGCGAAGCCAUGAGGAACGGCGCGGUGGUGGGUGGGAGAAGGCGCUGGAGGUGGGCAUUUGGGCGGCGAGCGGACGAAGCCGUAUGGGACGACUACGGUGGCUGACACGCCUCUCCAUCGCGAGUGGAUGGACCGGACAUGGACGGCUGCAGUGGCGGGCCGAAGAAGGCCCUACAGGAGCAUGCACAGACGACGCCGGCGGUGCAGAGAGGGGCGCUGAUCCAUGCCACCGCUGGCCUCGUCCUCUAGCCGGCCUGGACGGAGUGCUGAAGGAAGUUUCUUCGGGAGAUAGAUGGUCAGGAGAUAGAUGGUCAGGUGAGCGUGAGCCUAAAUAUCUCUCCCCCCGUCUGCUCCAUUUUGUUUCAGAAUGCAAAGAAGUUGCACAUCUUUUCUCAUCACCUGGCCAAUGAUAGGUUUGGUGCUGGUUUGGUUUUAUUGAGGAUGUUCUCAUUGCUACUCCGGACAAAGCAAUACUAAUUAUUUUACAGGUUUACUUGCUUACCUUGCAAAACCAUAUAUUUAGCCAUUUGUUAUAUUUUUUCUAGCUCGGUCUCCUACUUUUCUUCUUUGGAUUAUCCCAAAAAAGGAAAUUAUUUAACACUAGAUAGUGCACAUGCCAAUCUAUUUGAAUUUAGAUUAGUGUUAUUUCCGAUGGUGGUUUGAAGCUAAUUAUUUCCGAUGGUGGUUUGAAGCUACCCGCAGUUAUAGCAGCUAAUUAAUGUGCUAUCAGGUAACAAUCUAUACUUUAGAAUAUCUUCCUCAGUUUUUUUAUAGCCCCUUUAUUAGUUCAUAUAUGUGAUGAUUCAAGGAGAUGAAGAAUGCCGUUGCAUAGUCUAUAUUAACCUUAUCACAUAGCUUAACUUGUGUGGUCUCAAUUACCUUGGCGGUUAUAUUCGUUAAUAACAAAUACUUGUUUUGUUUUGGACUUUUUGUAGAUACUUGGAUGAUUACAAUUGUAAACCAUGUCUUACCAGCUCUUAAAUGUACAUGAACUUUUGUUUUACGGUUCAAGUUCUUAUACUAAAUAUUUGAUGAUCCUGAUUUUUUUGAUAAUGGUGUUGCCUUUUUGCUGUUGAUAGGUUAUAUAUGAAACAAGAUUUGAUAGGUUAUAUAUGAGUGUUUAGGGUUUUAGGUGGUCUUGGUGCAUUGAUGAGUUACGGGGGAUCACAUAGAUGAAAAUUUGACCCUUGACAAUUUCACAUGAAGCAUGGGACGUAAAAUAUUUGAUGAUGCUUGGAACUUUGGAAUCAGUUCAGAUGUUACUGGGAUAGAUGAAUAGCCCGAAACUUUGAGAGGAUGCUAUGGAUCUUCUCCCAAUCCUAGGUGAGCACCCAGAUUCUGAGUACCGGCUCUUCAACGCUGUUUUACUAUUUUUAAAAAAUAGGAGCAAUGUGAUUUCGCUCUCUAGAGACUCAAAUUAAAUAAAAGAUCCUUUUGGUACUGUCUAUUACUGUUCGUGGAUAACAGAUGCAACAAACAAAAAUAAGGAUAGCCUAGCCUUCUUAAUGUACUUCCACGACAUACAUCCUAUUUUGAGUUUGACCAGUCCUCAGUGCUCACUUUUAUAUGAUUGCUUUUCUCUUUUUGGCUUAGUGAAGUUGUUUUUCCUGUAGCAGAUACCUUGUGCUGAUUUACAGGGAUGAGACAUAUAUCCUUACAAAUAUUGUGCAGAUAUCCAUUGCCUCUUGUGUUGUUGAUUGAUUGCUUUACAGUCUUCCAGAUAGAAGAAUGACACCUCAAAAAGGCUUUCAUUUUUAUGGUAGAACUGAGCCGUUAAUAUGAAGGAUUCUGAUCAGUUUCUCGUCUACUAUUUCUAUUCAUUUUGGUUCUUCCUAAAAAUAAAACCCGCCCGGCUCAUUUGUACACAUGUACGCUUAUUUUUAUUCUACAUAAUUGAGUCUGUGAAAUAGUUGGUGAUGGUUCAUGUUUAUAUUUUUCCCAUUAUUGUCCUUUCAACGUUUUGAAUUUAGAUAUGUUGUUCUUUUAGUUUGCAGGUUAAUUUGGUCGCAUGAGUUAUCUAAUCUAGAAAUAUCUAUGUAGGGAUAUUUGGUGUUCGGAAUACAAGAUCUCUAAGUUUGGCUUCUCUGGAAUGGGGGUCAACUGUUAAUUAGGCUAGAAUAGCUUAUGUGAUGGUGGAUCUGUUUUGGGGAUCAACUGUUAAUUAAGCUAGAAUAGCUUAUGUGAUAGUGGAUCUGUUUUGGUGUGAUCUCACGCACUGUUAGCAGAGUUCUCAUGCAUUUGUAAUAGAAUUGAUGAAUGGUUAAUAGGAGCACCAUAGGCUAAAUUAGCGCUCUUCUUGAUCUAUAAGUUAUUUACCAUAUUUUUCGAGACCUUUACUGUUAACUGUAAUAUCAUACUCUACAUCCCUGGUUUGCAUCGAUUGGUGCAAUAGAUAUUAGCCCACGGUGAUGAGGAAGAAUGUUGGGUCCAGGCUCUUUCACUGCUAAAGAGCUGAAGAGAAUAUGGCAGAAAUAAUUCCAAUAACCUUAAGUUAUGUUAUAUACGUUACGUCCCACAAUGCAACGAGAGAGAUGGAUUAACCUGCUGACCAUGACAAUUUAUUUUCCUUUUGGAUGUUUUGCUUGCUUUGUAAUGCUUUCUUUUUUUAGCAGUGGUUGCACCGAGACUUAGAGUUUCUGCAGGAGUGUGAAGCUCGAUCUAAUUCCUCGGAUACUACACAUCAGCUUCCUAUAUUAUUCAUUGAUUCGACUCUUCGCGGCUAGGUUUGGUAUGAUUUGACUGGGAUAUUAUGGAUAUCACAGAUUAUCCUUACCUUCACUACGACCCUAUAUUGGCCAUUCGACACCUCACUCCAAAGGCACCGCAAUCCCCAGCAUGGUACAAGGGCAAAUCCAAGCACCCAAGGAGAGGUUUCUGGUUCCAUAAUUCAUACAUAGAGGUUUCCUCGAGGACCUGUGGCCUAAUCUCAAGUAAACAAGUAUUCACCGCUUUGUUCUCUUUGUACAUGUGCUCCAACUAUUAGCUAUUCAUCUGGGCAAAUUCAAGCACCCGAGGUUACAGGUGAUGAAAUUUCAGGUACACGUACAUAAUUGGCCAUCAACUAUUUUAGUGGUCCUAUUGUUUGGGCAUAUCAGUAUAGCUUCAAAGCUUUUCCUUAUCCCGGGAGGACCCAUUGCAGUGUGUUGUCUUUUCAGAGAUACGGGUAAGGUGUGUAUUCUGUGUCACUUCACUGGUAUGCUUUCUGUUCGCUUUUUUUCAAUCUGCAGAGCAUGUAAUAGAACUAUUAGAUUGUUCAUUGGCUAUGGAACUGUUGGCAUAGAGAGCCAAUUUAGCAUAUGUUGAAUUCUGCAUAGUUAGGCUGUGAAUUUAUAACGAAACGAAAUACUACUACUUUUUUAUUGUUGAAAGCAUCAGUCCUUUUGUUUCGAUACAUGAUUAUAAAAGUAAUACCUGAAUGAAAGUAAUCACUGCAUGGUCCUUAAUGGUAGAAUGAUUAGUGCUAAAUCUAUUAUUUCAAGGGUGUUAAGUAACACUUAUCUUUUUUACGGUAGUCUGUGUUUGUGGGCAUGUAGCCUUCCAUGAAACUAGAGUGCAUAUUUGAAGGCCCUUAGUACGCAUUAGUGUUAUGUGAACAUGUGGUUACCUUCAGUCACUAAAUCAUAUCUUAAAUUUAACCACUACAUGUGUAAUAUGUGGGGUUCUGCAAAUAUAUUUAUUGGCUAUGUUGACAGGGCAGCUUCUGCUCAUCUGGUGUUAUCAUAGCAUUGCCUGGAAUUAUUGCAGAUGCGUGAGUAGAUAAAUUCAAAGGGAAAGCACAUGACCGAAGAAGGCUGAUGACAAUGGAGCACUCAAUGUGGUCGAUGGAAACACUGAAGGGAUGUUUCAUAUAUAUAGCUGGAGUAAAUUCGAAUUUGUAACGACCUCCUUAUAUUAAGUAGGAAUAACAAUACAAUGUUGAACUUUCCGUUAUUUCCGACAUUACUAAAUUGAGUCUAUCUUAUUAUGAUGGUACUUGGGAUGAAGAACCAAUAGG